rnacentral:lncRNA from 1 species
GCUUGCCCCGCCCCACGCCGGUGCGCCGCGGGCCUCUGGUCCGCUGCCGUGUUCGGCCCCGCCCGUCACGUCUAGCUGGGGCUCGCCCGGCGCCUUCCUGGACGCAGACGUAUGAGUCCCAACUCCACCCAGUCCGGCCUGGCCUCUGUCCCCGGGUGACCGCGGAAUGGGGGGGCGGGAGCUAGCGAGCAGGCCCUCAAGCGCGUCUGGCCGCCUCCUUUGUCUUGAUGCCCACGUCUGGUUAGGACCCCUGCUGUCCAUUUUAUUAAAGGAGCUGUAGAAAGCGGCCUGGGGCCCAGCGACCUGCCCAGGGCGGACGAGGAGGCGCGACUGGCCCGAUGCCGCAGGCUCUCUGCCCAGUGUGCUCAGGUGGGAGGGCGGGGACAUGAAUCGAGCCACAGAGUGCCCUGGGCACGGACCCCCCGCCCCCCCCGGCCCCGGGCCCCGAGCCCCGAGCCCCGAGCCCGGCCACCGAAGCCCGUGCCACUCGCCAGCUCCUGCGAGACGAGCCUUUCGAGCGCAGCUCAGGCAUUUGGUUCAGGGUCCUACUGCCGGAGUCGUCUGAGGCCUCCAUCCGUCUGUCGUCACGAAAAAGGUUUUGGGGGGACUAAUAAGCACUUCCUGAAUGCACAUUUGCUCCACGCCCCUGCUGUAGGGAGAGGGUCUGCAGACACUUCAACAAAUAGAAUCCUAGGACCUUACCUGUGAGUACAAGAGCUGGAAUCUUCCCACCAACUUCUUAAAAUUCAAUCCUAUACUUGGUCCAUUUAGCUUAGACUGGAAAUUUCCCAAGGCAGUUUGUUUUGCAAUCUUUUGCAUGAUUUUAGCUCUGUAUAGUUUAGUGAAUGUUUAUGGUACUGAAUAAAACAGUCUAAAAACGUUGGGUA